GAUGAAGAACGUAGCGAAAUGCGAAAAGUAAUGUGAAUUGCAGAAUUCAGUGAACCAUCGAAUCUUUGAACGCACAUUGCGCCCGCUGGAACUCCGGCGGGCACGCCUGUCCGAGCGUCAUUUCAACCCUCAGGCCCCCCUUCGCGGGCGGGCCUGGUGUUGGGGCCCGGCCGCUACCCUGCGGCCGUCCCCUAAAUUCAGUGGCGGCCUCGCCGUGAUCCCUUGCGUAGUAAUGCACCUCGCACCGGAGAGCGCCGUGGCCACGCCGUAAAACCCCCAAUUUUCAAUGGUUGACCUCGGGUCAGGUGGGAAUACCCGCUGAACUUAAGCAUAUCAAUAAGCGGAGGA
rnacentral:misc_RNA from 1 species